rnacentral:rRNA from 1 species
AGGACGAACGCUGGCGGCGUGCCUAACACAUGCAAGUGGAGCGACGAACCAGGCUUCGGCCUGGGGCAAAGCCGCGAAUGGGUGAGUAACACGUGGGUAACCUGCCCCGAUGAUCGGGACAACCCGAGGAAACUCGGGCUAAUACCGAAUGUGCCCUACGGCCUCAAGGCUGCUGGGGAAAGGAAGCUUCGGCCUUCGCAUCGGGAUGGGCCCGCGGCCCAUUAGCUUGUUGGUGAGGUAAAGGCUCACCAAGGCAACGAUGGGUAGCUGGUCUGAGAGGACGAUCAGCCACACUGGGACUGAGACACGGCCCAAACUCCUACGGGAGGCAGCAGUGGGGAAUAUUGGACAAUGGGGGCAACCCUGAUCCAGCAAUGCCGCGUGUGUGAAGAAGGUCUUCGGAUUGUAAAGCACUUUCGACGGGACGAUGAUGACGGUACCCGUAUAAGAAGCCCCGGCUAACUUCGUGCCAGCAGCCGC